rnacentral:rRNA from 1 species
AAUGGGGGAAACCCUGAUGCAGCAACGCCGCGUGAGUGAUGACGGUCUUCGGAUUGUAAAGCUCUGUCUUUAGGGACGAUAAUGACGGUACCUAAGGAGGAAGCCACGGCUAACUACGUGCCAGCAGCCGCGGUAAUACGUAGGUGGCAAGCGUUGUCCGGAUUUACUGGGCGUAAAGGGAGCGUAGGCGGAUUUUUAAGUGGGAUGUGAAAUACCCGGGCUCAACCUGGGUGCUGCAUUCUAAACUGGAAGUCUAGAGUACAGGAGGGGAAAGCGGAAUUCCUAGUGUAGCGGUGAAAUGCGUAGAUAUUAGGAGGAACACCAGUGGCGAAGGCGGCUUUCUGGACAAUAACUGACGCUGAGGCGCGAAAGCGUGGGGAGCAAA